AUGAACGCUGGCGGCGUGCCUCAUCCAUGCCAGUCGAGCGAACAGACGAGGAGCUUGCUCCUCUGACGUUAGCGGCGGACGGGUGAGUAACACGUGGAUAACCUACCUAUAAGACUGGGAUAACUUCGGGAAACCGGAGCUAAUACCGGAUAAUAUAUUGAACCGCAUGGUUCAAUAGUGAAAGACGGUUUUGCUGUCACUUAUAGAUGGAUCCGCGCCGCAUUAGCUAGUUGGUAAGGUAACGGCUUACCAAGGCAACUAUGCGUAGCCGACCUGAGAGGGUGAUCGGCCACACUGGAACUGAGACACGGUCCAGACUCCUACGGGAGGCAGCAGUAGGGAAUCUUCCGCAAUGGGCGAAAGCCUGACGGAGCAACGCCGCGUGAGUGAUGAAGGUCUUCGGAUCGUAAAACUCUGUUAUUAGGGAAGAACAAAUGUGUAAGUAACUAUGCACGUCUUGACGGUACCUAAUCAGAAAGCCACGGCUAACUACGUG
rnacentral:rRNA from 1 species